AGCCUUGUGGACGAACAGACAAGUCGUUGUGCCUCUCAAGCACUAAGAAGCGGGUGCAACUCCCGUCAAGGCUU
rfam:Tolypothrix bouteillei VB521301 scaffold_4, whole genome shotgun sequence.